CAAGUCGUGGGGCAGCAGGGUUGUAGCAAUACAAUCGCUGGCGACCGGCAAACGGGUGCGUAACACGUACGCAACCUUCCCGUUACUGUGGCAUAGCCCAGGGGAACUUGGAUUAAUACCACAUAUUAUAUAGAGAGGGCAUCCUUUUUAUAUCAAAGCUUCGGCGGUAACGGAUGGGCGUGCGGUUGAUUAGGUAGUUGGCGGGGUAACGGCCCACCAAGCCUACGAUCAAUAGCUGAUGUGAGAGCAUGAUCAGCCACACGGGCACUGAGACACGGGCCCGACUCCUACGGGAGGCAGCAGUAAGGAAUAUUGGGCAAUGGACGAAAGUCUGACCCAGCCAUGCCGCGUGAAGGAUUAAGGUCCUCUGGAUUGUAAACUUCUUUUCUCUGGGGCGAAAAACAGCUAUUCUUAGUUGCUUGACAGUACCAGAGGAAUAAGCACCGGCUAACUCCGUGCCAGCAGCCGCGGUAAUACGGAGGGUGCAAACGUUAUCCGGAUUCACUGGGUUUAAAGGGUGCGUAGGUGGGCUAGUAAGUCCGUGGUGAAAUCCCCGAGCUUAACUCGGGAACUGCCAUUGAUACUAUUAGUCUUGAAUAUCGUGGAGGUAAGCGGAAUAUGUCAUGUAGCGGUGAAAUGCUUAGAUAUGACAUAGAACACCAAUUGCGAAGGCAGCUUGCUACACGGUCAUUGACACUGAGGCACGAAAGCGUGGGGAGCAAACAGGAUUAGAUACCCUGGUAGUCCACGCCCUAAACUAUGGAUACUCGACAUCAGCGAUACACUGUUGGUGUCUGAGCGAAAGCAUUAAGUAUCCCACCUGGGAAGUACGAUCGCAGAUUGAAACUCAAAGGAAUUGGCGG
rnacentral:rRNA from 1 species